UACAGAGGUCUCAAGCGUUGUUCGGAUUCAUUGGGCGUAAAGGGUGCGUAGGCGGCGAAGCAAGUCAGGUGUGAAAUCCCGGAGCUUAACUCCGGAACUGCACUUGAUACUGUUUUGCUUGAGGACUGGAGAGGAGAUCGGAAUUCACGGUGUAGCAGUGAAAUGCGUAGAUAUCGUGAGGAAGGCCAGUGGCGAAGGCGGAUCUCUGGACAGUUCCUGACGCUGAGGCACGAAGGCCAGGGGAG
rnacentral:rRNA from 1 species